rnacentral:rRNA from 1 species
UACGUAGGGUGCUAGCGUUGUUCGGAAUCAUUGGGCGUAAAGCGCGUGUAGGUGGUUAGGUAAGUCGGAUGUGAAAUCCCUGGGCUCAACCGAGGAAGUGCAUUCGAAACUACCUAGCUAGAGGACGGUAGAGGAAGGUGGAAUUCCUAGUGUAGAGGUGAAAUUCGUAGAUAUUAGGAGGAAUACCGGUGGCGAAGGCGGCCUUCUGGGCCGUUCCUGACACUGAGACGCGAAAGCGUGGGUAGCAAACAGG